rnacentral:rRNA from 1 species
AGUGAACGCUGGCGGUAGGCCUAACACAUGCAAGUCGAACGGCAGCACAGUAAGAGCUUGCUCUUACGGGUGUCGAGUGGCGGACGGGUGAGGAAUACAUCGGAAUCUACUUUUUCGUGGGGGAUAACGUAGGGAAACUUACGCUCAUACCGCAUACGACCUACGGGUGAAAGCAGGGGAUCUUCGGACCUUGCGCGAUUGAAUGAGCCGAUGUCGGAUUAGCUAGUUGGCGGGGUAAAGGCCCACCAAGGCGACGAUCCGGAGCUGGGCUGAGAGGAUGAUGAGCAACACUGGAACUGGGACACGGUCCAGACUCCUACGGGAGGCAGCAGUGGGGAAUAUGGGACAAUGGGCGCAAGCCUGAUCCAGACAUACCGCGUGGGUGAAGAAGGCCUUCGGGUUGUAAAGCCCUUUUGUUGGGAAAGAAAAGCAGCAGGUUAAUACCCCGCUGUUCUGACGGUACCCAAAGAAUAAGCACCGGCUAACUUCGUA